AGAAAUGAACAUUUUUUUGCUCAUUAGCAGUUGGUAGAUAAUGAUGUUAAAUCAUGUGACGUAAUUUGAUAUGCUAGUUCCCUUAGAUGGGAACACUAUCAUGCAUGUAUACAACUUUCCAGUGAAGCAAAUAAGAAGAGAAACCUUUGUUUGAGUUAAUGAAUUAAAAACUAUUUGAAAGUGGUCUGUAGAACAGUAUAAAUCAGAGAGAUGACAACCGAAGUUACAUAGUCACAACCUUUCGAAAACUUAAAAGAAUUAUUCGAUAACGUGGGUAAUUUGAAACCAUGACCGGAAAUUGAAUAACUACGAGAUUCAACUGAUUAUGUGUACAGUGGUUUAGAAAUAAGCGCAGAAAGAACGCAGUUAGAAAAAUUGGAUAGAGAAGUACAUCCUAAAACGUUGCUUUGUCAUGAUAUGAAAGGUGGCUGCCUAGAAGACAGGUAAUAGAAAUCGCUAUAUAUUUAUCAAUUCAUAUAUUAUACAUAAUAUACCCGUGAUUUUUCAGAUUUAUAUAUCGAUCAGAAUCUUAUGAUUCUUACCUAUUUUAUCACUGGAGUGUUAUUGACACGUUUGUGUAUUUUAGUCAUCGUUUCAUAACUGCGCCACCUUUUGGGUGGAUUAAUGUAGCACAUAAUCAUGGUGUAAAAGUUCUUGGUACUGUAAUUACGAAAAGAGAAGGUACCUGGGAUGUAAUAUUUGAAUCUCAGGAAGAAGUAAGAAGAUUUGCAGAUGCACUAAUACUUGUUGCAAAAUUUUAUAAAUUCGAUUUUAUAAGUCUGGUUAUUAAAUAUUGAAAAUACCAUUAAAAAGAUUUCUUUUUAAACUGCGAUGGCAUUUACUUGAAUUAUAACUGGACGAAAUCAAAAUUGGAAAACGGUUUGGCACUUGCAAAAAAUCACAGCAGAGAUAUUCAUGAUAUUUAUGUAGGACUUGAUAUUUGGGGAAGAUGUUGUCCUGGUGGUGGUGGAUUUAAUUCAACAUAUGCUUUACCAAAAAUACGACACUAAGGACUUUCUGUCGCGCUUUUUGGUCCAGGUUGGACUCACGAAUUUUUCGGAUCUAAGACAUUCCAAGAAAUAGAAGAUCUAUUUUGGGCACAGUUGUUUCCUUAUUUUUAUGUUCAUGUACCUAUCUACGAAGAAGAAGUAUUCAAAACAUCAUUUUGCCGCGGCAGUGGUAGCUUGUAUUAUCGCUGUGGUCAGGCACUAUAUGAAAAGGAUGGGAAAAGAUUUAAACACAAACCAUUUUACAAUUUAUCCCUGCAAAAUCCACAAAUAUCAGUACCUAUACCGCACGUGAAAUUUACAUCAUCGCCUCAACUUCCAGAACCGAAAAGUGAAAACGAUCGAAAUGAGUGUUCAAAAGAACCGAUACAAUAUGUUUAUGAAACGAGGAAGAAUGUUAUUCGAGUAUUAAAAAAUGUUGUAAAUAUUGAAAAUAAAAUGCCAAUGCAUCGAACUGUCAGAAUUUGAUAUCUUUGUCCACGGGGAUAAGACCACUGAGACAACAGUAACAACAUAGAGAUCGUCCUCCAGACCAUAAAUAAUAAUAAUCUUUAAAAUUGCUACAGGACAAACACCGAAUCUUCCGCACCUUAGAUCGGCUGAAGAAGCGCUUCGGCACUCUAUGUUACUCUAUCCCAUCGGUCAUCGAACACGGCAAGGGAUAUAGAGCCAUAAAAAUGCUUAUCAGUAAGGCCUCUGACAGAUCCCGAGUUCUCUGCACUCAGAGAAUUAAAGAUUCCAAAACCACGUUUCCGCAAGUAAGACGAAUGCUAUACCUCUUGAUCGGCGCCCUCAAAUUUUCUUCGGACGAUUCUCACCGUCUUCCAUAGUUGAAUAACCUCCUCGUGUGACAGAACAGAAGAUACAUCGUUACUGGUACCAAGUCGACAAAUAAGUCCACUUUGUGACGUCUCCGGUACCGCCGGCUUCCCAGAACUUACUAGUAACGCGAUGACAUGCCAAGAAUAAACGUCUACGCAACACGUGCUUCUGUUAUUCACGAUCUUGUGUCGUUUCUUCCUUUCAAGUUAUAAACUGUUCUUUGUACAGGUCUUUAAUUAGUAUUGUGCUUGCGUGCUAUUUCAUCACUUCAAACUUGUUAAACUUUUAUCACUCGUUCCAACAGCACUUGUUAUUUGUAUGUAGCGAAGCAUUCUUUAUCCGGUCUCCUUUCUACCGCGUGAAAAGUUUCGUGAAUCCCACAAGACUACUGGGGACAAAUUUUGGAAGUGUGCGCCGAAAUGUGUAUGAUGAUAUUCUCAGAUUCCCAAAUUUCAUAAUCUUGAAAAUGCAGAUUUUCGUUGAGCCGCUGGAACAGGGUCUGUACCUUCACCUGAGGAAACAGGGCUAGUAACCGCUCCGGCUCCGAUGUCUCAGAGAAUUAUUUCACAUCGGUAGAUUCGUUAACGAUUCAAUUUAAGUUGCUGAAUGGGAUAGGUUAUCAGGCUUCGAUAUCUUCAACGCAGUACCAAUAUAGCUAUAGCUCCCGCAAAGAUGCACAUUCUUCUUCUCCUUGAUGCUCAAUGAUCUCUUGUACCAGCAUACUUUUCUAAGAUAUGGAAGAUGGGGAAAGUAGUUCCCUUGCUGGGGAAGGAUAAGAACAAACCAAAUCCAGCCAGGUACAGAUCAACGAGUUUGCUGUUUGCAGAGUAUCCAUUAGUAAGGUCUUUGAGAGUGUGAUACAGAGACUCAUACCGUUUCAUUGCAAAGAGGCUGCCGUUCCUCCCGAUCAGCAAUUUGGCUUCCGGGUCAAAUACAGUAAGGUCCACGCCAUAAUAAAAUUCGUGACAGGCGUCUGCUGGUAGCAAAACUCUACUCAUAGUCCUGGAAUGGGAUUUUGACAUGUUUCGAUCGAGCGGUUUGCUAUAAAAGCUGAUACGAUACGGUUUCUUUAAACAUGCAGUUCAGGUGAUUUGGUCCACAAUCUUCGAAAUGUGUCUCAUUGGAUGUCAAGCUCGAAUAUCGUCUUCGGAGUGAAUAACUGUCUGCAACAGGGAACGUUCAACACCUCCAUCCUGUUCAAUUUGUAUUUUAGUCGUGCUUCGAGCCUCUUCCAUCUGAAUAGCGACUUCAACCUAUGCGCGUUAGUAUUUGCCAAUGGCCUCCUCAUUUACGCGACGGGAAUGUAUUCAUCCAAAAUUAAUUCCAAGCUACAGGAAAUUUUCGAUCGAAUUAUGGUUUGCUGUGGUAACUGAAAGUUCCGUACAUUCUCGCUGAUUUCUUAUCACCGGCAAUAGCCCCUAUCCGUUCCGCAUAAGAAAAUGGUCAAAUAUCCCGGUAUAUAUUUGUAUUGCAAAUUACAGAUUACACAGCACGUUAAGACGCAAAUGUAAAAUAAAUCAGAAAAGACUAUUAUAGCAAAUAAAGGUUCGGUCCUCUCAAAGCAUCUCUGCGUGAAAUGUAGUCUUCUGUUGUACAAAUUGCUGUCACCAAUCCUAUCCCGACUUAUGCCUGUCCGAUUUGGCUAAAUGUCACAACGAGUCAGAUGGACCAGCUCAGGCGUUUCAAACGGUAAUGUCCGGGGCAUUGCAUGGGGCUGUAUCGCACGAGCUAUUUUACAUACCAAUACAAAUAUUUUACAUAAUUUUAUAUACUAUAUACAAG